rnacentral:rRNA from 1 species
AGUGAACGCUGGCGGUAGGCCUAACACAUGCAAGUCGAACGGCAGCACAGUAAGAGCUUGCUCUUACGGGUGGCGAGUGGCGGACGGGUGAGGAAUACAGCGGAAUCUACUUUUUCGUGGGGGAUAACGUAGGGAAACUUACGCUAAUACCGCAUACGACCUACGGGUGAAAGCAGGGGAUCUUCGGACCUUGCGCGAAUGAAUGAGCCGAUGUCGGAUUAGCUAGUUUGCGGGGUAAAGGCCCACCAAGGCGACGAUCCGUAGCUGGUCUGAGAGGAUGAUCAGGCACACUGGAACUGAGACACGGUCCAGACUCCUACGGGAGGCAGCAGUGGGGAAUAUUGGACAAUGUGCGCAAGCCUGAUCCAGCCAUACCGCGUGGGUGAAGAAGGCCUUCGGGUUGUAAAGCCCUUUUGUUGGGAAAGAAAAGCAGCAGGUUAAUACCCCGCUGUUCUGACGGUACCCAAAGAAUAAGCACCGGCUAACUUCGUG